UACAGAGGGGGCAAGCGUUGUUCGGAAUUACUGGGCGUAAAGGGCGCGUAGGCGGCCUGCUAAGUCGAACGUGAAAUCCCUGGGCUCAACCCAGGAACUGCGUCCGAUACUGGUUGGCUUGAAUCCGGGAGAGGGAUGUGGAAUUCCAGGUGUAGCGGUGAAAUGCGUAGAUAUCUGGAGGAACACCGGUGGCGAAGGCGGCAUCCUGGACCGGCAUUGACGCUGAGGCGCGAAAGCUAGGGGAGCAAACGGG
rnacentral:rRNA from 1 species